AUAAUGAGACUAUAUACAAGGAGUACCAGUACCCCUGUAGUAUUAUAAUAAUGAGACUAUAUACAAGGAGUACCAGUACCCCUGUAGUAUUAUAAUAAUGAGACUAUAUACAAGGAGUACCAGUACCCCUGUAGUAUUAUAAUAAUGAGACUAUAUACAAGGAGUAGCAGUACCCCUGUAUUAUUAUAAUAAUGAGACUAUAUACAAGGAGUACCAGUACCCCUGUAGUAUUAUAAUAAUGAGACUAUAUACAAGGAGUACCAGUACCCCUGUAGUAUUAUAAUAAUGAGACUAUAUACAAGGAGUACCAGUACCCCUGUAGUAUUAUAAUAAUGAGACUAUAUACAAGGAGUAGCAGUACCCCUGUAGUAUUAUAAUAAUGAGACUAUAUACAAGGAGUACCAGUACCCCUGUAGUAUUAUAAUAAUGAGACUAUAUACAAGGAGUACCAGUACCCCUGUAGUAUUAUAAUAAUGAGACUAUAUACAAGGAGUACCAGUACCCCUGUAGUAUUAUAAUAAUGAGACUAUAUACAAGGAGUACCGGUACCCCUGUAGUAUUAUAAUAAUGAGACUAUAUACAAGGAGUAGCAGUACCCCUGUAGUAUUAUAAUAAUGAGACUAUAUACAAGGAGUACCAGUACUCCUGUAGUAUUAUAAUAAUGAGACUAUAUACAAGGAGUACCAGUACCCCAGUAGUAUUAUAAUAAUGAGACUAUAUACAAGGAGUAGCAGUACCCCUGUAGUAUUAUAAUAAUGAGACUAGCCAGUGUAAAAGGGUCAAUGCAAAUUGUCCAGGUAACCAUUUGAUUACCUGUUCAGCAGUCUAAUGGUUUUUGGGGUCAAAGCUGUUCAGGUACCUCAGGUGAUCAGAUGUUCCGGUAACGAGAGAACAGUCUAUAGGCUGUGGUAUAUAGGUCCUGGAUGGCAGGGAGUUCAGCUCCAGUGAUGUACUGGGCCGUGCGCACCGCCCUCUGUAGCAGAGAGAACAGUCUAUGGGCUGGGGUAUAUAGGUCCUGGAUGGCAGCACCACCCUCUGUAGCAGAGAGAACAGUCUAUGGGCUGGGGUAUAUAGGUCCUAGAUGGCAGCACCACCCUCUGUAACAGAGAGAACAGUCUAUGGGCUGGGGUAUAUAGGUCCUGGAUGACAGCACCACCCUCUGUAACAGAGAGAACAGUCUAUGGGCUGGGGUAUAUAGGUCCUGGAUGGCAGCACCGCCCUCUGUAGCAGAGAGAACAGUCUAUGGGCUGGGGUAUAUAGGUCCUGGAUGACAGCACCACCCUCUGUAGCAGAGAGAACAGUCUAUGGGCUGGGGUAUAUAGGUCCUGGAUGACAGCACCACCCUCUGUAGCAGAGAGAACAGUCUAUGGGCGGGGGUAUAUAGGUCCUGGAUGACAGCACCACCCUCUGUAGCAGAGAGAACAGUCUAUGGGCUGGGGUAUAUAGGUCCUGGAUGACAGCACCACCCUCUGUAGCAGAGAGAACAGUCUAUGGGCUGGGGUAUAUAGGUCCUGGAUGGCAGCACCACCCUCUGUAGCAGAGAGAACAGUCUAUGGGCUGGGGUAUAUAGGUCCUGGAUGACAGCACCACCCUCUGUAGCAGAGAGAACAGUCUAUGGGCUGGGGUAUAUAGGUCCUGGAUGACAGCACCACCCUCUGUAGCAGAGAGAACAGUCUAUGGGCUGGGGUAUAUAGGUCCUGGAUGGCAGCACCACCCUCUGUAGCAGAGAGAACAGUCUAUGGGCUGGGGUAUAUAGGUCCUGGAUGGCAGCACCACCCUCUGUAGCAGAGAGAACAGUCUAUGGGCUGGGGUAUAUAGGUCCUGGAUGACAGCACCACCCUCUGUAGCAGAGAGAACAGUCUAUGGGCUGGGGUAUAUAGGUCCUGGAUGACAGCACCACCCUCUGUAGCAGAGAGAACAGUCUAUGGGCUGGGGUAUAUAGGUCCUGGAUGACAGCACCACCCUCUGUAGCAGAGAGAACAGUCUAUGGGCUGGGGUAUAUAGGUCCUGGAUGACAGCACCACCCUCUGUAGCAGAGAGAACAGUCUAUGGGCUGGGGUAUAUAGGUCCUGGAUGGCAGCACCACCCUCUGUAGCAGAGAGAACAGUCUAUGGGCUGGGGUAUAUAGGUCCUGGAUGACAGCACCACCCUCUGUAGCAGAGAGAACAGUCUAUGGGCUGGGGUAUAUAGGUCCUGGAUGACAGCACCACCCUCUGUAGCAGAGAGAACAGUCUAUGGGCUGGGGUAUAUAGGUCCUGGAUGACAGCACCACCCUCUGUAGCAGAGAGAACAGUCUAUGGGCUGGGGUAUAUAGGUCCUGGAUGACAGCACCACCCUCUGUAACAGAGAGAACAGUCUAUGGGCUGGGGUAUAUAGGUCCUGGAUGGCAGCACCGCCCUCUGUAGCGUCCUUGUGAUCGAGGGCGGUGCAGUUGCCAUACCAAGAGGUGAUGCAGCCAGUCAAGAUGCUAAAGUUCUGCGUCCAAUGUAGCAGGCAGUAGGACCUGAAGACUCUUCAUGUCUGAAUAUCUAGGCUUUAGUUCAGGGUCAGGGUUAGUCCACAGUCUGGUCUGGUGCUUCC